rnacentral:rRNA from 1 species
AGGACGACGCUGGCGGCGUGCCUAACACAUGCAAGUCGAGCGGGGUUGAAGCGAGGGGUAACUCGAGUUUCUACCUAGCGGCGGACGGGUGAGUAACGCGUGGGCAACCUGCCUCAAGGACUGGGAUAACAGCUCGAAAGGGCUGCUAAUACCGGAUAAGCCUAUGGCCUCGCAUGGGGCCAUGAGCAAAGGGGAAACCCGCCUUGAGAUGGGCCCGCGUCCCAUCAGCUAGUUGGUGAGGUGAAGGCUCACCAAGGCGACGACGGGUAGCCGGCCUGAGAGGGUGACCGGCCACACUGGGACUGAGACACGGCCCAGACUCCUACGGGGGGCAGCAGUGGGGAAUCUUGCACAAUGGGCGAAAGCCUGAUGCAGCGACGCCGCGUGAGCGAAGAAGGCCUUCGGGUUGUAAAGCUCUGUCUGGAGGGACGAAGGAAGUGACGGUACCUCCGGAGGAAGCCACGGCUAACUACGUG